rnacentral:lncRNA from 1 species
UUCCGCAUGGAUUUUCUUGUCGCUAAAUAAUUUUAUAGCAAUUUCCAAUAAAGUGAAGGCCUCUCAUGCAUUCCAAUUUGGUAUCAAAUACUUUUCUUCUGUAACAAGUUGUAGACCAUCAAUGAUAUCCUGACACUGCCUUACAUUGUUGAGGUGAACAUGACAUAUAAAACUAAGGAAAUAAGCAUAUGCUGUGGGAGGAAAUGGACAUGUAAA